UACAGAGGGUGCGAGCGUUAAUCGGAAUUACUGGGCGUAAAGGGCGCGUAGGCGGUUGUAUAAGUUAGGUGUGAAAUCCCCGGGCUUAACCUGGGAAUGGCAUUUAAUACUGUAUGACUAGAGUAGAGUAGAGGGAAGUGGAAUUUCCGGUGUAGCGGUGAAAUGCGUAGAUAUCGGAAAGAACACCAGUGGCGAAGGCGGCUUCCUGGACUCAUACUGACGUUGAGGCGCGAAAGCAUGGGUAGCAAACAGG
rnacentral:rRNA from 1 species